rnacentral:tRNA from 1 species
GGGGCCAUAGUUUAAAUGGUAGAAUGCCUGCUUUGCACGUAGGAGAUUAGGAGUUCAAAUCUCCUUGGCUCCA